UUUGUAUUACGAGCGGAAAUUGUUACCAUUUUUGGCCCAAAAAUGGUAACAAUUUCCGCACGUAAUACAAA
rnacentral:miRNA from 1 species